GCACAAAGCACCUUAAGUUUUUUCCCUUAAGUAUGACCCUUAAAGCUUAAAUUCUCCUUAGGUAAGGGAUUUACUUAAGAGUGUUGCACAGAAUGCCUUAAAUUGUUUCCUUAGUUAAGAAAAUCGUUAAGGGAUUUACUGCAUUGAAAGAGAUUUUCCGACACGAAAAUUCUAUAGUUUCCAUGGAGACCUCGCUCGCACCUGUGUAGCCUACCUGUAACGGUAACGUUACCUGCGAUAACAUUAGACAAACACUUAAACUAUCAACUCAAAAUGGAGGAAAAGAAGGCAAGGAAGCCAAAUUGGACAGAGGACGAAAAAGUUAUUCUUCUUGAAGAAUACAGAAAACGAAAAACUAUACUAAAAAGUAAAUUCGACCCGACAAUAACAGCAAACAAAAAACAAAGAAAUUGGAAAGAAAUCACUGCUAAAAUUAAUGCGAGAAGUACGGUGAAGAGGAGUGUACCAGAAAUACAAAAAAAGUUAGAGAAUCUAACUGUGAUGGCCAAGAAAGAGAUGUCCUGCUUUAGGAGGGAGUCCAAUGGAACUGGUGGUGGAUCAGCUCCAAAACCAAUUUCAAGCGAUGCUGUAAUGGUUGCCGACAUCAUUGGUAGGGACUCACCCACAGUAAAGGGGAUUGCUGGUGGACAGGAGAGCGGUGUCAUAUUGGAAAGAUAUAAAGAGAAUAAACUCAAAGGGGAACUGCAAACAUUCAGAUUGAAGCCUACCAUUGAGAAGAGAAAAACUCAGGGAACCCAAUAGCUAUACAAUAUUUGGUGGCAUUCUGUUUUGCACAGUUGUGAUUUCUAAAAGUGAACCUUUACAUGAUAUACCUGUCUUAAACUGUCUUUUGUUGCUUGUGAAAUACAUAUAAUACACAUUUUUGUAUUAA